GUAGGUGAACCUGCGGAAGGAUCAUUAUACGUUUCCAACGUACCAACCACGUGAACUCGUUUUAGAGUCUGCGGACCUGUUUGAGGGCGCCAAAGUAUGGUGGGCGUGCGCAGCCGCAAGGCUGUGUGCGCUGUUUGGCGCUCUGCAUCGCACCCUUCACCGGGGGCGUGACAACUCGUCUCGUAGCAACCAUUUCCUAUUUUAUUUACAUUUUUAAACGCAUUGUACCUACUUCGUACUAACACUUUGUGAAGUCGGCGCGGAACGAAGCUUCGGCUUCCGGACACACCGAUGAACUUAAGACUAUUAAUUGCUGAACAACUCUUAGCAACGGAUAUCUUGGUUCUC
rnacentral:misc_RNA from 1 species